rnacentral:tRNA from 1 species
CGCUAUAGCUCAGUAGGUAGAGCAAUUCACUCGUAACGAAUAGGUCGCAGGUUCGAUUCCUGUUGGCGGC